GGGGUAUUGGCACAGGGAGGGACUAGUUGGUGGUCAGCUCUCCUUGGAGCAAGUCUGACUGAAAUGACUGGAAGCACUUGCAGAGGUCAGGGUUAGACAUGAAGUCUUGCAAAAACAACCAGCUCAGAAAACAACAAAAUGGAAAGAAAAGAAAGAAGAAGCAGCAUUUGCUAAUUCUGAGCUGUUGGUAACCCAAGGAAAUCUGUUGGAGGAUGUACAUUGCAAAUAGACUCUGCUCAAACAAUAGGCCUAGAAAGAACUAGCAGAAUGCAACUCAUCCACAGAGCAAUUUUCAUCAGUUCCAAGCAAACAACAUCAGAAUAAAAUCAUCAGAAUAAAAUCCUCUUUUCCGUCUGCAGGAAUUAAAUGCAUAAACAAUUUCCGAAUCAAUUUAAGAUGUAAAUCAGAUUCACUUUAUUAGAAAAGCCAGAGGACAUUUUGACUGAACUUCAUUCUUUGUCAACAGUAGAAACUGCUUCAUAAUUAGUUAAGUAUUGGAGCCUCUCUCUCUUCAAAAUAGCUAAUAUAAAAUUUAAUUAUAAGGAAGCUACAAGGAAAGUUGCAUUACUGUCCAAGAAAAUAGCAAUUUAGAAUUCUUAUUAUACCAUCAGUCAUGUUUUUAGUAGGAAUAUACUGGUAGUGGCUUUGCAAAUGACAAUCAACUACUACAUUUCUUGCUAUCUUCACAGAACAAAUAGUAUAUUUUCCAAAGAAUGAUAAAGGUACAUCAUUGUACAGUUUAAUAGGAUCUCACAUUAUGAGCAGUCCAGCACUGAAUUAUAGAGAUCUGUAAUUUCCACCAUACUAAUAGUCAAAUACAAUCCUAACAUUAAUUAUUUUGUUUGUUGAAAACAAAAAAAUAAGCCUUUGUUAAAGCUGAAGUCUUUCAAGAUUGAACAGUAAAGAAUUAGGAAACAGGCAAACAUAUUUUAAUUGCUAUACAAGGCAUCUCCUUCGUUUAUGCUUUGCAAAAUAGAAGUAAUUCCAUAGAAUUUAGCAGAGUUAUACCUAAUUCAAAUUUUUCAAAGUCAUUAUGCAAGUCAUAUGUUAUGGAGUUUAUAAUCUGUUUCUUUAAAUAAAUGUGUGAUGUGGGUUAAAUGGACAUCAUGUAGCCUCCCAGAUUAAUAAUUUUGGAGUGUGAAGACUCAUUAAAGAGUGACAAUUCUCACAAAACAAAGAUUUUAUCCACUGUUCUCAUUUAAAUGUAUGGUUAAAUAAUAACUCUGUACUGCAGUAAGGUUUUAUGAUGCUUUAGGAAGAUAACGGGGGUGGCAAUUUGUUUUGAUCUUCUAAAAAUGAAGCAAAAUCUAAUCAGAAUGUUCAAAUAAAGAUUUUUCUAUAUAGUA